CAGACCCCCACACACACCCACACCACCCACAGCAGGGGCAGGACCUGGAGACACCCCCAUUAAGACAGGGAGCACGAGGGACUUGAAGAUCCUGGUCUUUGCACUGAUGUUGAAGGUUCCACCCAUUCAGCUGGAGGCCGCCAAUGCCUACACAUGCGUCGACCACAGGUGUGCGCUGGACAUUGCCUACAGUUCAUGGUGCAGAUGCAAAUGGGAGCAUCGGUGGAGAGCGAGCUUGGUGAAGGUUGGCGGCCAGGUUAAGGUCACCACGGACAAGGAGUUCUGUGAGAUGUGCUCGGCCGAUGUUGUUGACCUCGACCACAUCAAUGUUACUAAGGUGGUAGAGGUGUGGAACUACAUCUUCAUUGACGACGGACUCAAGAAGAUCGCUGAGACUACUACUAUUACUAUUACUACUAUCCGAUCCUGUAUACUGCUUCUAUGUGUACUAUUAAAUCCUCUA